GUGGGGAAUUUUGCACAAUGGGCGAAAGCCUGAUGCAGCAACGCCGCGUGAGUGAAGAAGGCCCUUGGGUCGUAAAGCUCUUUCGGCUGGGGAGAAGGCUAUUAAGGUGAACAAUCUUAGUAGCUGACGGUACCAGAAUAAGAAGCACCGGCUAACUCCGUGCCAGCAGCCGCGGUAAUACGGAGGGUGCGAGCGUUGUUCGGAAUUACUGGGCGUAAAGCGCACGUAGGCGGGUUUUUAAGUCGAUUGUGAAAGCCCAGGGCUCAACCUUGGAAUUGCAGUCGAAACUGGAAGUCUUGAAUACCUGAGGGGAUAGUGGAAUUCCCGGUGUAGAAGUGAAAUUCGUAGAUAUCGGGAGGAACACCAGUGGCGAAGGCGGCUAUCUGGCAGUGUAUUGACGCUAAGGUGCGAAAGCGUGGGGAUCAAACAGGAUUAGAAACCCCAGUAGUCC
rnacentral:rRNA from 1 species